rnacentral:rRNA from 1 species
UACGAGCGGCCCAAACGUUAUUCGGAAUUACUGGGCUUAAAGAGUUCGUAGGCGGCGCAGUAAGUAGGGUGUGAAAGCCCUCGGCUCAACCGAGGAAUUGCGCCCUAAACUACUGUGCUUGAGGAACCUAGAGGUGAGCGGAACUGAUGGUGGAGCGGUGAAAUGCGUUGAUAUCAUCAGGAACACCGGAGGCGAAGGCGGCUCACUGGGGGUUUUCUGACGCUGAGGCGCGAAAGCGUGGGGAGCGAUCCGG